rnacentral:rRNA from 1 species
GACUAACGCUGACGGUAUGCCUUAUACAUGCAAGUCGAACGGUAAGGCCUCUUCGGAGGUACACGAGUGGCGGACGGGUGAGUAACACGUAGGAAUCUACCCUAGAGUGGGGGACAACCAGAGGAAACUUUGGCUAAUACCCCAUAGGACGAAAGUUUAAAGAAUUUCGCUCUAGGAGGAGCCUGCGCUGGAUUAGUUUGUUGGUGAGGUAAAAGCUCACCAAGACUACGAUCUAUAGCGGGUUUGAGAAGAUGACCAGCCACAAUGGGACUGAGAUACGGCCCAUACUCCUACGGGAGGCAGCAGUAGGGAAUUUUGCGCAAUGGGCGAAAGCCUGACGCAGCAAUACCGUGUGUGGGAAGACGCUUUUCGGAGUGUAAACCACUGUCGGGAGGGACGAAUAAAAUGACGGUACCUCCAAAGGAAGCACCGGCUAACUCUGUGCCAGCAGCCGCGGUAAUACAGAGGGUGCGAGCGUUGUCCGGAUUUAUUGGGCGUAAAGAGUUUGUAGGCGGUUUAUCAAGUCUGAAGUGAAAGAAUGGGGCUCAACUCCAUCCACGCUUUAGAAACUGAUGAACUAGAGAAAGUUAGAGGUAAGUGGAAUUUCCAGUGUAGCGGUGAAAUGCGUAGAUAUUGGAAGGAACAUCAGAGGCGAAGGCGACUUACUGGGACUUUUCUGACGCUGAGAAACGAAAGCUAGGGUAGCGAAAGGGAUUAGAUACCCCUGUAGUCCUAGCCGUAAACGAUGAAUACUAGGUGUUAUGGGAAUCGACCCCCGUAGUACCGCAGCUAACGCUUUAAGUAUUCCGCCUGGGAAGUACGUACGCAAGUAUGAAACUCAAAGGAAUUGACGGGGACCCGCACAAGCGGUGGAACAUGUGGUUUAAUUCGAUGCAACGCGAAGAACCUUACCUGGACUUGACAUCCUUGGAACCUAACAGAAAUGUUUGGGUGCCUUCGGGAACCAAGUGACAGGUGCUGCACGGCUGUCGUCAGCUCGUGUCGUGAGAUGUUGGGUUAAGUCCCGCAACGAGCGCAACCCAUGUCGUUAGUUACUAACAUUUAGUUGAGGACUCUAACGAGACUGCCGGUGACAAACCGGAGGAAGGUGUGGACGACGUCAAGUCAUCAUGGCCCUUAUGUCCAGGGCUACACACGUGUUACAAUGGCUGGUCCAACAGGUUGCUACUUAGUAAUAAGAUGCUAAUCCCUAAAACCAGUCUCAGUUCGGAUCGAAGGCUGCAACUCGCCUUCGUGAAGUAGGAAUCGCUAGUAAACGCAGAUCAGCACGCUGCGUCGAAUACGUUCUCGGGUCUUGUACACACCGCCCGUCACACCAUGGAAGAUGGUAAUGCCCGAAGUCGAUGACCAAACCCUUUUUGGGAUGGAGUCGCCUAAGGCAGUGCUGUUGACUAGGGUG